AGAGUUUGAUUCAUGGCUCAGAGUGAACGCUGGCGGUAGGCCUAACACAUGCAAGUCGAACGGCAGCACAGCAGUAGCAAUACUGUGGGUGGCGAGUGGCGGACGGGUGAGGAAUACAUCGGAAUCUACCUUUUCGUGGGGGAUAACGUAGGGAAACUUACGCUAAUACCGCAUAAGACCUUCGGGUGAAAGUGGGGGACCUUCGGGCCUCACGCGGAUAGAUGAGCCGAUGUCGGAUUAGCUUGUUGGCGGGGUAAAAGCCCACCAAGGCGACGAUCCGUAGCUGGUCUGAGAGGAUGAUCAGCCACACUGGAACUGAGACACGGUCCAGACUCCUACGGGAGGCAGCAGUGGGGAAUAUUGGACAAUGGGCGCAAGCCUGAUCCAGCCAUACCGCGUGGGUGAAGAAGGCCUUCGGGUUGUAAAGCCCUUUUGUUGGGAAAGAAAUCCUGCCGGUUAAUAACCAGUAGGGAUGACGGUACCCAAAGAAUAGCUCGC
rnacentral:rRNA from 1 species